rnacentral:rRNA from 1 species
AUACGGAGGAUGCGAGCGUUAUCCGGAUUUAUUGGGUUUAAAGGGCGCGCAGGCGGGCGAUUAAGUCAGCGGUGAAAGGCUCGGGCUCAACCGGAGCAGUGCCGUUGAUACUGGUUGUCUCGAAUGCGGUCACGGCCGGCGGAAUGUGGCGUGUAGCGGUGAAAUGCAUAGAUAUGCCACAGAACACUGAUAGCGAAGGCAGCUGGCCGGGCCUGCAUUGACGCUGAGGCACGAAAGCGUGGGGAUCGAACAGGAUUAGAUACCCUGGUAGUCCACGCUGUAAACGAUGGACACUCGUUGUCGGCGACAGACAGUCGGCGGCCAAGCGAAAGUGAUAAGUGUCCCACCUGGGGAGUACGAUCGCAAGGCUGAAACUCAAAUGAAUUGACGGGG